UGUUUCCAGCCCAAGGAGGGUUAAACGUGUGGGAAGAGGAAGGGAAUCCCUAUUCUGGAACUUGAGACCUUCCAGCUGAGAGCAGGGGGAGAGAGAGAGAUGCAGGCGGACGUCACAACCCUCCCUGCUGCACUCGGCUCCCCUGUCAAAGGAAGUCUGCCGAAGGCGCACGGAGGGCUGCGGCACCACUGAGGCUGGAGAUAUGUAAUGCCAUCACUUCCGACUCCGAUGUUUAAUCAAAUCUGCAGACCAGAAAGUCUCCUCUUUUGGGCUAAACUGCUGAAUCCUUUUAAAGCCAAGAACGGCGUCUUUCCCGGGAAGUGAAGCCGAGAGCCUGCAAGCGCUGAGGGACCCCAGCCUCCCGAGGUCUCGCUGGAAUGAGGUGAUGCAUCCCCCCUGCGUCUCCUCUGCAGAGCCUCUCCCGCAGCCAAGAUGGACGUAGGAGCUGUCCAAGAGGCAGAGAUGCCUCCCAGCCCCUGGAGAAGAAAAGAGAAUCCAAGGGAUGGAGAGACCUUAGGCUGAGGAGGCGAAGGAGACAGGCUCUGGCGAA
rnacentral:lncRNA from 1 species